AAACUCUCAAGCUAUGCUUGGUAUUGAAGGAAGUCCUUUUGGACCCCUUUGUAACUUGUCAGUGCGGGACCUACCGGCUUCAAGCGUAGCAAAAUUUCGCUUCGUAGUUUGGUAGGCCUCUGCCUAGCAACUCUUACUUUCAA
rnacentral:misc_RNA from 1 species